GCUGGCUAAUGGGCUGAUAUUGGCCACACCAUAAUAAUAUUUUCACUUUAAAAGGUGAUUGCUGCUUUCAUAGUGAUUUCUGCUACUUUAUUGUAUUUAUUGUAACAAAAAAAAAAAAAAAAUACUGAUCAAGGAUAGACUUUGAACAACCGCAGCAAUACAAUGAGGAGACUACUAAAAUCCAAUUAUUAUUGCAAUGCCCGCUAAAUUUCUGUUGUACUGUGAAUUUUUAUAUGUAUGUACGUAUGUAUGAAUGUACAUAUUUGAGUUAUCACAAUGGCCAGAAGCUGUGUCCGUCCACUCGAAUCGCCAUAAUCAUUUAUAGCAUUUCCUGUGUUUACUCAAAGAAAACAGAGACAAAUCAAAUAGAAAUUGAUAGAGAAAUCGUGUAAAGGCAUGAAAUACAAAAAAAAAAAGAAUGUAUGCCAGUUGCAUGGGACAUGCCGUUUGAAAGGCUGCCAAUUUGUCUGACACCGUAACGGCAAAAAACGGUAUUAAAAAUAACAGUGUGAGGAGCAAGUGCAGCGAGGUUGCGGAAAACGUCAUGAUGUCUAGCAAAUUUAGCGAAUGAUGCGUGGUUGGCUGUGUUCGCAUUAAAUAGCAUACAUAUAUAAAUAUACUAGAUAAUUUGCACAACAAAUUUCAAAUAAUUUUAC